UACGUAGGGCGCAAGCGUUGUCCGGAAUUAUUGGGCGUAAAGAGCUCGUAGGCGGUUUGUCGCGUCUGCUGUGAAAAACCUAAGGCUCAACCUUGGGCUUGCAGUCGAUACGGGGCAGGCUAGAGUUCGGUAGGGGAGACUGGAAUUCCUGGUGUAGCGGUGAAAUGCGCAGAUAUCAGGAGGAACACCGAUGGCGAAGGCAGGUCUCUGGGCCGAUACUGACGCUGAGGAGCGAAAGCGUGGGGAGCGAACAGG
rnacentral:rRNA from 1 species